rnacentral:rRNA from 1 species
GAUGAACGCUGGCGGCGUGCCUAAUACAUGCAAGUCGAGCGAACGGACGAGAAGCUUGCUUCUCUGAUGUUAGCGGCGGACGGGUGAGUAACACGUGGAUAACCUACCUAUAAGACUGGGAUAACUUCGGGAAACCGGAGCUAAUACCGGAUGAUAUUUUGAACCGCAUGGUUCAAAAGUGAAAGACGGUCUUGCUGUCACUUAUAGAUGGAUCCGCGCUGCAUUAGCUAGUUGGUAAGGUAACGGCUUACCAAGGCAACGAUGCAUAGCCGACCUGAGAGGGUGAUCGGCCACACUGGAACUGAGACACGGUCCAGACUCCUACGGGAGGCAGCAGUAGGGAAUCUUCCGCAAUGGGCGAAAGCCUGACGGAGCAACGCCGCGUGAGUGAUGAAGGUCUUCGGAUCGUAAAACUCUGUUAUUAGGGAAGAACAUAUGUGUAAGUAACUGUGCACAUCUUGACGGUACCUAAUCAGAAAGCCACGGCUAACUACGUGCCAGCAGCCGCGGUAAUACGUAGGUGGCAAGCGUUAUCCGGAAUUGUUGGGCGUAAAGCGCGCGUAGGCGGUUUUUUAAGUCUGAUGUGAAAGCCCACGGCUCAACCGUGGAGGGUCAUUGGAAACUGGAAAACUUGAGUGCAGAAGAGGAAAGUGGAAUUCCAUGUGUAGCGGUGAAAUGCGCAGAGAUAUGGAGGAACACCAGUGGCGAAGGCGACUUUCUGGUCUGUAACUGACGCUGAUGUGCGAAAGCGUGGGGAUCAAACAGGAUUAGAUACCCUGGUAGUCCACGCCGUAAACGAUGAGUGCUAAGUGUUAGGGGGUUUCCGCCCCUUAGUGCUGCAGCUAACGCAUUAAGCACUCCGCCUGGGGAGUACGACCGCAAGGUUGAAACUCAAAGGAAUUGACGGGGACCCGCACAAGCGGUGGAGCAUGUGGUUUAAUUCGAAGCAACGCGAAGAACCUUACCAAAUCUUGACAUCCUUUGACAACUCUAGAGAUAGAGCCUUCCCCUUCGGGGGACAAAGUGACAGGUGGUGCAUGGUUGUCGUCAGCUCGUGUCGUGAGAUGUUGGGUUAAGUCCCGCAACGAGCGCAACCCUUAAGCUUAGUUGCCAUCAUUAAGUUGGGCACUCUAAGUUGACUACCGGUGACAGACCGGAGGAAGGUGGGGAUGACGUCAAAUCAUCAUGCCCCUUAUGAUUUGGGCUACACACGUGCUACAAUGGACAAUACAAAGGGCAGCGAAACCGCGAGGUCAAGCAAAUCCCAUAAAGUUGUUCUCAGUUCGGAUUGUAGUCUGCAACUCGACUACAUGAAGCUGGAAUCGCUAGUAAUCGUAGAUCAGCAUGCUACGGUGAAUACGUUCCCGGGUCU